rnacentral:piRNA from 1 species
UGUCAGUAAGGUCCUGGUCAGUGGAGU